AACGAACGCUGGCAGCGUGGAUUAGGCAUGCAAGUCGAACGCUCGGCGGCUGUAGCAAUACGGCCGCCGGGAGUGGCGGAAGGGCGAGGAACGCAUGGGCAAUCUGUCCCAAGGGUGGGGAUAACGCCGUGAAAAUGGCGCUAAUACCGAAUGUGGCGUACGGGUCGCAUGACUCGUCCGCUAAAGGCGGGGACCGCAAGGCCUGCCCCCUAGGGAGGAGCCCGUGUGCCAUCAGCUUGUUGGCGGGGUAACGGCCCACCAAGGCUUACGGCUAGCUGGUCUGAGAGGACGACCAGCCGCACUGGGACUGAGACACUGCCCAGACUCCUACGGGAGGCUGCAGUCGAGGAUCAUUCGCAAUGGGCGAAAGCCUGACGAUGCGACGCUGCGUGGAGGAUGACGGCCUUCGGGUUGUAAACUCCUGUCAUGAGGGAAAAACGAACCUGCGACAACAUCAAGGGGACGAGAUGGUACCUCAAGAGGAAGCCACGGCUAACUCUGUGCCAGCAGCCGCGGUAAUACAGAGGUGGCGAGCGUUGUUCGGAUUUACUGGGCGUAAAGGGCGCGUAGGCGGCGCGGUGUGUCGGGUGUGAAAUCCAUGGGCCCAACCCAUGAAGUGCGCCCGAAACUGCCGUGCUAGAGUGCGGGAGGGGAGAUCGGAAUGCAGGGUGGUAGCGGUGAAAUGCGUUGAUAUCCUGCAGAACACCGGUGGCGAAGGCGGAUCUCUGGAACGCAACUGACGCUGAGGCGCGAAAGUCGGGGGAGCAAACAGGAUUAGAUACCCUGGUAGUCCCGACCCUAAACGGUGUGCACUUGGGGUGGGGGGAUUYCCCCCCCCCCGUCCCGAAGCUAACGCGUUAAGUGCACCGCCUGGGGAGUACGGCCGCAAGGUUAAAACUCAAAGAAAUUGACGGGGGCCCGCACAAGCAGAGGAGCAUGUGGCUUAAUUCGAUGCAACGCGAAGAACCUUACCCGGGUUUGACAUGCAGCUGCACGGCCUAUGAAAGUAGGCCUCCUUCGAGGGUGCUGCACAGGUGCUGCAUGGCUGUCGUCAGUUCGUGCCGUGAGGUGUUUGGUUAAGUCCAGCAACGAACGCAACCCCUGUGUCCAGUUGCCAGCGCGUAAUGGCGGGAACUCUGGACAGACUGCCCGUUCACACGGGAGGAAGGUGGGGACGACGUCAAGUCAGUAUGGCCCUUACAUCCGGGGCUGCACACGUGCUACAAUGGCAGGUACAAAGGGAAGCCAAGCCGCAAGGCCGCGCCAAUCCCCAAAACCUGCCCCAGUUCAGAUUGGGGUCUGCAACCCGACCCCAUGAAGUCGGAUUUGCUAGUAACGGCGCAUCAGCUACGGCGCCGUGAAUACGUUCCCGGGCCUUGUACACACCGCCCGUCACAUCAUGAAAGCCGUCUGCACCCGAAGCCGGCGCCUCAACCCGCAAGGGAGAGAGCCGUCUAAGGUGUGAGUGGUGAUUGGGAUG
rnacentral:rRNA from 1 species